AUCGUCUUGUAGCAAUUGUUUACACUUAAUAUUACACAAUAUGCCUUAGCAGUGGUCUUAAAGUAUCAAUUUUGUUUCUUUUAUUGGACAGAUAACACCAAACACAUACCUGGUUAAAGGGCCUCUGGGCUGGAAGGCACAGAUACUAUCAAGACAAUACCUGAUAGAUCAGAAUUCAGACACAUUGAAAUAGAUGUCACCUGGACAUGGAAACUACCUAUCUUGUUAAUCCUUACCU